CCCCCCUCGAAAGCCGCGUCGACGAACCACUGCGGUGGCGGGAAAUACACGCGAAUUGCGUUCGCGCCUAAGCGCGCAAUGUGACCCAGAUCCGACUUCGCUUGGUCACGGUCCGGGAGGGCCUCCCCAUCCGCAUUGGGAGCAAAUGGACCGUAAGAGAAUCCCUUCAAAGACCACUUGUGAUCGUCGAUUCGAAAGAACUUCCCAGCCACCUUGACUCGCGUGGCAUCCAUCAUUCGAGCGCGCAUUAUCGAGGUCGUACGGGGUUCAGCAGCUGCGAAACAAGGAAAAAAACAACACCAAGAUCCCGUCUACCCCACUGAAGCAAUCGAACCA
rnacentral:misc_RNA from 1 species